GCUACACAUCACUUGUAGUUGCAGAGAUAAAGAAACAUCUGUUUACACCCCUUUUGUGCAAAACAUCAGAAUUACCAGUCGUCACAAAAACAGAUAACAAAUUGAAGUUUAAAAUUCCAGCAAGAUUCGUAAUAAAAGGAAGAUCAAAAUAAAUAAGCCAGACUGUCAUAGGGUUCCAGUGGAUAAAGAAAGGAUAGACAAAGGUUCUGGCGUUCUGCAAAACGCAUAUCUCGACAAAAAAAAGAUUAUCCUUUCAUGGUUUGUUGGACUACAACGAGCAUCAAAGAAGCGCAGUUAGAUUUGAAGGCAGAAAAAUCCUGUGUACAACCAUCUGGUCAGAACACUUGAUGUUUCCAGUUUGUCUGACGAUAAAAAUAGUCUGAUGUCUUACGGAGAUGAAGCAGUGCACCAACAAAGUGUGUGAACUUGCUGAAAAAGAAUGGUUGAUAUCAUAAAAAAUCGAGUAAAACCUUCAAGAGAAGGAAAAUAUUUGGAUGCGUGGGCUAAAGUUCUGAUCAAUUCCAACCUAAAAAUUUAGUGGAAAAAUAUGUUGCAUAUCAUCGAGUUUCCUUUAAUAACUCCCUUUACUAAUGCAAAACUUGAACACAUAUUUAGUAUAAUGAAUAAAGUCAAAACAAA